rnacentral:rRNA from 1 species
UCAAAUCAGGUAGGACUACCCGCUGACCUUAAGCAUAUCAAUAAGCGGAGGAAAGAACUAACAAGGAUUCCCCNUAGUAACUGCGAGUGAACCGGGAAAAGCUCAAAUUUCGAAUCUGGCGGUUCGCUCGGACCGUCCGAAUUGUAAUCUAGAGAAGCGUCUUCCAGCCCCGUGCCGUGUACAAGUCUCCUGGAAGGGAGCAUCGUAGAGGGUGACAAUCCCGUCUCUGACACGGAUCCGUCGGUGCUUCGUGAUGCGCUCUCGACGAGUCGAGUUGUUUGGGAAUGCAGCUCAAAUAGGGUGGUAAACUCCAUCUAAAGCUAAAUACGGGCGAGAGACCGAUAGCGAACAAGUACCGUGAGGGAAAGACGAAAAGAACUUUGAAAAGAGAGUUAAACAGUACGUGAAAUCGUUGAAAGGGAAACGCUUGACGUCAGUCUCGUCGGUCGGGGAUCAACCUAGAUCUUUCUGGGUGUACUUCCUGCUCGACGGGUCAGCAUCAGUUUCGAUCGUCGUACAAAGGCCAGAGCGAACGUGCCACGCUUCGGCGUGUGUUAUAGCCUCUCGUCGCAUGCUGCGCUCGGGACUGAAGAACUCCGCGCCGAACAGGCGUCUAGGAUGCUGGGCAUAAUGGCCUUAAGCGACCCGUCUGGAAACACGGGACCAAA